CAAACGACUCUCGGCAACGGAUAUCUCGGCUCACGCAUCGAUGAAGAACGUAGCAAAAUGCGAUACUUGGUGUGAAUUGCAGAAUCCCGUGAACCAUCGAGUUUUUGAACGCAAGUUGCGCCCAAAGCCUUUCGGCCGAGGGCACGUCUGUCUGGGCGUCACAC
rnacentral:rRNA from 3 species